ensembl:lncRNA
UGAUCUCAGAGCUGCACUGAGGAUUCCCUAUUUUCAGCUCAUCACAAGAAAAUUUAAAAUAUUUAAGAGCAAUUCAUUCAUGGCAGAAGAUCUGUGGAGCAUCACAAACUGCAGGAGAAUUAAACACAUAGGAAAAAUGGCAAACAAAGAGGACGAGAGACAAUCUAAUGAAUCAAGAGAGAAAAAGACCCUGAAACGAAUUAGACAGAACAGCAUUAAUAGUGGAAAACCAAACUUUUCUGAUGAUCCAGACAGUUUCAUUCUGAGUGACUCACAGACGAGGUGA